rnacentral:rRNA from 1 species
CAAUGGACGAAAGUCUGACCGAGCAACGCCGCGUGAGUGAAGAAGGUUUUCGGAUCGUAAAACUCUGUUGGUAGAGAAGAACGUUGGUGAGAGUGGAAAGCUCAUCAAGUGACGGUAACUACCCAGAAAGGGACGGCUAACUACGUGCCAGCAGCCGCGGUAAUACGUAGGUCCCGAGCGUUGUCCGGAUUUAUUGGGCGUAAAGCGAGCGCAGGUGGUUUAUUAAGUCUGGUGUAAAAGGCAGUGGCUCAACCAUUGUAUGCAUUGGAAACUGGUAGACUUGAGUGCAGGAGAGGAGAGUGGAAUUCCAUGUGUAGCGGUGAAAUGCGUAGAUAUAUGGAGGAACACCGGUGGCGAAAGCGGCUCUCUGGCCUGUAACUGACACUGAGGCUCGAAAGCGUGGGGAGCAAACAGGAUUAGAUACCCUGGUAGUCCACGCCGUAAACGAUGAGUGCUAGAUGUAGGGAGCUAUAAGUUCUCUGUAUCGCAGCUAACGCAAUAAGCACUCCGCCUGGGGAGA